rnacentral:rRNA from 1 species
UACGUAGGCAGCAAGCGUUGUUCGGAGUUACUGGGCGUAAAGCGCGUGUAGGCGGCAACGCAAGUCGGAUGUGAAAUCCCAUGGCUCAACCAUGGAAGUGCACCCGAAACUGCGUCGCUAGAGUCCUGGAGAGGAAGGUGGAAUGCUUGGUGUAGAGGUGAAAUUCGUAGAUAUCAAGCGGAACACCGGUGGCGAAGGCGGCCUUCUGGACAGUGACUGACGCUGAGACGCGAAAGUGUGGGGAGCAAACAGG